rnacentral:rRNA from 1 species
UACGAAGGGGGCUAGCGUUGUUCGGAUUUACUGGGCGUAAAGCGCACGUAGGCGGAUCGAUCAGUCAGGGGUGAAAUCCCAGAGCUCAACUCUGAAACUGCCUUUGAUACUGUCGAUCUGGAGUAUGGAAGAGGUGAGUGGAAUUCCGAGUGUAGAGGUGAAAUUCGUAGAUAUUCGGAGGAACACCAGUGGCGAAGGCGGCUCACUGGUCCAUUACUGACGCUGAGGUGCGAAAGCGUGGGGAGCAAACAGG